GCUCAGGAUGAACGCGGGCGGCGUGCCUCAUGCAUGCAAGUCGAACGGGAACACUUUUAGUAGCAAUACUGAGGGUGUUCUAGUGGCGAUCGGGUGAGUAACACGUAGGUGACCUGCCCCGAAGAGGGGGAUAACGGUCCGAAAGGACUGCUAAUACCCCAUGUGGUUGAUGAUUCAUUUCGUCAAUUAAAGUUUCCGCAAGGAGUAUGCUUCGGGAGGGGCCUGCGGCGGAUUAGAUAGUUGGUGGGGUAAUGGCCUACCAAGUCGAUGAUCCGUAGCUAGUCUGAGAGGACGAUUAGCCACACUGGCACUGACACACGGGCCAGACUCCUACGGGAGGCAGCAGCAGGGAAUAUUGCACAAUGGGCGAAAGCCUGAUGCAGCAACGCCGCGUGAGGGAUGAAGGUCUUCGGAUUGUAAACCUCUUUUACAGGGGACGAGUAAGGACGGUACCCUGUGAAUAAGCAACGGCUAACUACGUGCCAGCAGCCGCGGUAAUACGUAGGUUGCGAGCGUUAUUCGGAUUUACUGGGCGUAAAGAGCACCGAGGUGGCUUCUUAAGUUGGAUGUAAAAUCUCCUGGCUUAACUGGGAGGCGCCAUUCAAAACUGAGGAGCUUGAGGUCAGCAGGGGAAGGUGGAAUUCCCGGUGUAGUGGUGGAAUGCGUAGAGAUCGGGAGGAACACCAGUGGCGAAAGCGACCUUCUGGGCUGCACCUGACACUCUAGUGCGAAAGCGUGGGGAGCAAACAGGAUUAGAUACCCUGGUAGUCCACGCCCUAAACGAUGGAUACUAGGUGUGGGAGGUAUUGACCCCUUCCGUGCCGAAGCCAACGCGUUAAGUAUCCCGCCUGGGGACUACGGCCGCAGGUUAAAACUCAAAG
rnacentral:rRNA from 1 species